rnacentral:lncRNA from 13 species
GCGAGGAUCCUCGUCUGCAAUCAAACCAAGGGGCCAAAGAAAGAAAUGUGAGUAAUAGGAAUCAGGGAAAAGAGAGGGUAAAGUCUAACACUGAUGUCAUUGUGACUGAGAAGGUCAUAUUGUUAUGGGUAAACAUUGAUAAGAUAUGAAGACAUGGGCAUAACAGUCUUUAGGGAAAACUCUGACUGGAAUUGUGAAGUUGUGACCCUCCCACAUUUUCAAAACCCAACCUAUGAUUAGCAUGGAAAGUUAUUGCUUUUACAACUAAUUUCAAAUUAUAGAGAGCACACCAUGCAAGAGUGUGCAGACCCUGUGUUUAAGAAACCUAUACAUUAUGCAUUAAUUGCAGAACAAGAAAAGGAAGGGUGAUGUUAUAAUUCUCACCUAAACAACUUUUUUUCCACCAACAAUAACUAUCAGCCUUUUACUAUUGAGUUGCAACGGGGAAAACACAUUGCUCUCACCAUGUCAGUUUAACCGGAGCUGACUGUGAUUUGUUUAGAAUUGAAGGCACACGUAACCAGCAUAGCUACCACAGCAUUCUGCAGCGAUACGCCAUCCCAUCUGGUUUGCGCUUAGUGGGACUGUCUUUUGUUUUUCAACAGAACAAUGACCCAACACCCAACCUAGGCAUCCAAAUUACACUGUACCUUAGUCCAGCCAUGGCAAGGCAGACCUUCCUACAAUGUGACACAUACAAAAAGACAAGUCUUUAAAAGCUCCUCUUGCCUGUCAGAGCCAGCCAGAGGUAUGGACUGAGUCACUGAAAGGAGCUAAGAGACAGUAGAAAGUCUGCCGAGCAUUGGAGUCACGUAGAAUAGGACAGGAACUUGGAACUUCACUAGUUUUACUUCAGCUUGGAAGAUAAACAUCUGCAGUGUCUGCAGAAUGAGGCACCAGUGACAGACCUGAGCCUGUCUUCUCAGAGUACAGUACACAGGGGGAGUGGGGGCACCAGGCCAGCCAUGAGCAGCCACGCCAUUCUUACAGUCACAGUCCUCUGAGGAGGAAGCAAGAGGGGAGUCUGCUGGGUUUGGAGGAGGAAGAGGAGGACAGUGGCAGCGAGGACAGUGAGACUGUUUCAAAGAAGUCUUCUCCAGAGAGCGAGGGGGGCACGGCCGGCAGCUGCCAGGAUGAGAAGAGACCCAGUCGCUCCAAGUCCC